AGGAGGAGCCUGUAUACGAGGGAGAAUAUGGAGGGAUGGAGCAGGGCGGCGAAGGAGGAGAGGGGUAUUAGUUGUCUUCAGGACCCCCCACCCCCCUCCUGUGUUCUCCAGCAGCCUCCCGGCCCCCAUCGCCUCGCAGAGUCCAGAUGUUCAACAUAUUUUUUUGUGACUCUAUGGAACCAAAAUCAACUAAAACAGACUCUUCCAGAUGCCGCACCUCAGCCACUGUAUCCACACCCUCUCCCCACCCCCUCUGCCUCCUUACACACCCUUACCUCCCUACCCCUCCUCCACCCUCUGACCUCCUGCAGCCUGUAGCUUCUCCUCCACUGCCCGUCGUAUCCCCCCCCAACUCACCUGUGUGUUAGUGUCGUCCUGAUAUGAGCCCUGAUGUCGUUACUGCCCCCACGCCUACCAACCUAUAGGGAAACCUCACACACAAACACACACACGUAACAACACAUACACACACAAACAAAAAAGAGACACCCCUUCAUUAAACACAUGCAUGAAACACACACACACACAUACACAGUGCAUACCGUCAGCGCCAGCACAGACGCACACACUGGUCAGUGUGUCAGAAAUGAAAUUGUGGUUGUGAAAAUCCACUCAGGCCUCAGCACUGCAGUCCACAGCAGUAACUGAUGACUGAGGCAGGGUGUGAGCUGCUGUUUGUGUGCCUGCGUGUCCAAAGCUUAUAUUCUAUAUAUAUAGUAUAUAUACGUGUGUGUGCAUGUGCAGCUGUGGCAUAUGAAAUAAAUACAAUAAAUCUCCAGACGCUUGUGCAGGGAAUCGUGCGUUGAUGGCGGAUCUCGUUCUGUUGUGUGUGCGGUAGUUAGUUAGCCACGGUAGACUGCAUGAACAGAUUUGUGGAAUGACUCGUCACGUGUUGAAACCGUAGAGUAGCAGCUGUUUCCGUGUGGCUUUGUAUGGCUUAGUGUGUGUCUCGCCUCGACGUGUAGAAACAGGGUUAUUAACAGUGUCGUUAACCUGAAAACAACGCACAGUGCUCAUUCUUCUAAUGGAUAAUAUUACAUUUUCACAUAAAAGCUACAAUCGAUAACUGAUGGCUUGAUUCGAUUUGACUGACGGGGGCAUCUCUCUGCAAACAACCAUAUUUUAAUUAUAAUUGGAAAUCCUUAGUAUCUUCCUAUUUUCUGUCCCAAUCCAGCCCAGUGUUUCCCAUAUUAACCAGUGUUGCUCUAACUUUGGCAAAAAAACUGAUGUGCUCAUAUCUAUAUGUUGAAGCUGAUUAGUGGAUAUCAAAGUUUCCAAAUACACCAAAGUGAAUUUGGGGGAAAUGUGCAGGAAAAUGCUGAAAAACCAUUUAGAAGUGAGUCUUAGGUUUAAAUGUUUCUCUUGUCGUAAACAUCAAAUAGAGUUCGGUCAGGAUUAACUUGGAUUUAGGGGGAAAUUAAAAGGGAAAUUUGUGGGUUUAAAGGUGUUUUCAGGGGAAAAUGAGCAGUUGAUUUCUUCUUAUCAUGUAGUUGCUUUUUGGUGUUUGUGAACCGGCUUGCAUGUCAUAGAGGAAAAGUGAGCAGCCUGAAUAUCAUUCAGAUUUCUGUGAUGAAAACAAUCACUCAAUAAAAGGGAAUCGGUCCAAUGAGAGAACAGGAUGAAGGUUUGUGUUCUCACUGUAGCUCAGCUUUAUGUGUAGUUCUGUGUACAGCUUGAAUUCUGGGAUAUGUAGUGGAUUUUUAGGGGUAGAUUUGAUUUCACACUAACUAGUGUUCUGACCCGCUCGACUGUCUCAGCCAAUCAGACGAUUCCCUCCUCCCGUCACUCAGUGUAAUGCCACCUUUCACUGCUCGUCUUUGUGUGCGCGUCAGUAUGCACUGUGUGUGUGUGCGUGUAUGUGUGUGUUAGCGUAGAACGGUUUCAGCCAGCAAUGUGUGUGUAUGUGUGCGUGUGUGUGUUUGUUUCUUGAGCAGGUGUGUUUUUACUUUGAGGCCAAUGGAAACUGAUGACUGCAUGUUGCCUUAUUAAGCAAUCUGACAUUCACACACACACAGACCAUACACUACAACACACUUACAUUAACAUGUACACACAAACACACACACACACACUCUGUAAACAACACCCCCCUCACACACACAACCACACACCAUGUUUAAGUUGGCAUCAAAGCAGACUCGCUGAUUUUAUAAACAGUACCAGUGAAAUUAAAUAUGUUUUGUUGAAAUCCAGCUACAGUGUGGAGAGUUUAUUGAAGAGGUGCCUGACUGAAAACACAAGGUUUUCUCACAUUAUUAUUAUCAUCACAGUCAGGGCCACAUGAUCUCACUAAGGGGCCACAGAUCAAAACUGAGCUACGAGUCCCAAUCACGUUUGCUUUCUUAUCAAAACUUAAAAAUAGAAAUAAGAGAAUUAUUUUGUCUGUGCUGGGAGUUGGUUAAUUUAGCCUAGCAUAAAAAACAGAGCUCAGACAACUCAGAGAGUAUUUUGCCUGUUGUAAUUCAUUUGUUUUAAAAAACAAAAAGAGGAAAAAUUAUGACGACUGAUUUAAGAGCGAGCUACAUGCUGGGACUAUUUCUUGACAAAGAACUGUAGCUGCCGAGUAGGCUACUUCUACGCAGUGUCAUUGCAUGAGCUCCUCUGAAAUUACAGCAUCGCACACAGUAAAAUAAACUCACGACACGCCCGUAUCUUUUCUCAACAUUUUAUUGGUUUCCACAAAAUGAAUAAAAAUAAAAAUAAUUUCCUCUAAAAUGGUUUCUAUGUUGAGGAACUGGACGGUUAAAAUUGAGAAAAAAAAAAAAAA